AACGAACGCUGGCGGCGUGCCUAACACAUGCAAGUCGCACGAGAAAGUCCUUCGGGAUGAGUAGAGUGGCGCACGGGUGAGUAAUGCAUGGGAACGUGCCUCUAAGAGGGGGAUAACUACGGGAAACUGUAGCUAAUACCGCAUAGAAUCGAGAGAUUAAAGGUGGCCUCUGCUUGCAAGCUACUACUUAGAGAUCGGCCCCUGUCCCAUUAGCUAGUUGGCGGGGUAAGAGCCCACCAAGGCGACGAUGGGUAGCUGGUCUGAGAGGAUGACGAGGCAGACUGGAACGGGGGCACGGUCCAGACUCCUACGGGAGGCAGCAGUGGGGAAUUUUGGACAAUGGAUGAAACUAUGAUGCAGCAACGCCGCGUGAGUGAUGAAGGCCUUUGGGUUGUAAAGCUCUUUCGGUUGAGAAGAAGGGUGGUAUGGCUAAUAUCUUUACCAUUUGACGGUAUCAAAAGAAGAAGCACCUGCUAACUUCGUGCCAGCAGCCGCGGUAA
rnacentral:rRNA from 1 species